rnacentral:rRNA from 1 species
GACGAACGCUGGCGGCGUGCUUAACACAUGCAAGUCGAACGGAAAGGCCCUGCUUUUGUGGGGUGCUCGAGUGGCGAACGGGUGAGUAACACGUGAGUAACCUGCCCUUGACUUUGGGAUAACUUCAGGAAACUGGGGCUAAUACCGGAUAGGAGCUCCUGCUGCAUGGUGGGGGUUGGAAAGUUACGGCGGUUGGGGAUGGACUCGCGGCUUAUCAGCCUGUUGGUGGGGUAGUGGCUUACUAAGGUGUUGACGGGUAGCCGGCCUGAGAGUGUGACCGGCCACAGUGGGACUGAGAUACGGCCCAGACUCCUACGGGAGGCAUCAGUGGGGAAUAGUGCACAAUGGGCGGAAUCCGGAUGCAGCAACGCCGCGUGCUGGAUGACUGCCUUCGGGUUGUAAACCGCUUUCGCCUGGGACGAAGCGUGAGUGACGGUAAUGGGUAAAGAAGCACCGGCUAACUACGUG